CUCGUAGGCGGCCAACUAAGUCAUACGUGAAAUCCCUCAGCUUAACUGGGGAACUGCGUGUGAUACUGGAUGGCUUGGAUUUGGGAGAGGGAUGCGGAAUUCCAGGUGUAGCGGUGAAAUGCGUAGAUAUCUGGAGGAACACCGGUGGCGAAGGCGGCAUCCUGGACCAAUAUUGACGCUGAGGAGCGAAAGCAGGGAGCAA
rnacentral:rRNA from 1 species